CCUACGGGGGGCAGCAGUGGGGAAUAUUGGACAAUGGGCGAAAGCCUGAUCCAGCCAUGCCGCGUGUGUGAAGAAGGCCUUCGGGUUGUAAAGCACUUUCAGUGGGGAAGAAAGCCUUGGGGCUAAUACCCUCGAGGAAGGACAUCACCCACAGAAGAAGCACCGGCUAACUCCGUGCCAGCAGCCGCGGUAAUACGGAGGGUGCGAGCGUUAAUCGGAAUUACUGGGCGUAAAGCGCGCGUAGGCGGUCUGAUAAGCCGGUUGUGAAAGCCCCGGGCUCAACCUGGGAACGGCAUCCGGAGCUGUCAGGCUAGAGUGCAGGAGAGGAAGGUAGAAUUCCCGGUGUAGCGGUGAAAUGCGUAGAGAUCGGGAGGAAUACCAGUGGCGAAGGCGGCCUUCUGGACUGACACUGACGCUGAGGUGCGAAAGCGUGGGUAGCAAACAGGAUUAGAUACCCGAGUAGUC
rnacentral:rRNA from 1 species